UACGAAGGGGGCUAGCGUUGCUCGGAAUCACUGGGCGUAAAGGGUGCGUAGGCGGGUCUUUAAGUCAGGGGUGAAAUCCUGGAGCUCAACUCCAGAACUGCCCUUGAUACUGAGGAUCUUGAGUCCGGGAGAGGUGAGUGGAACUGCGAGUGUAGAGGUGAAAUUCGUAGAUAUUCGCAAGAACACCAGUGGCGAAGGCGGCUCACUGGCCCGGUACUGACGCUGAGGCACGAAAGCGUGGGGAGCAAACAGG
rnacentral:rRNA from 1 species